rnacentral:rRNA from 1 species
CCUACGGGUGGCAGCAGUGGGGAAUAUUGCACAAUGGGCGCAAGCCUGAUGCAGCCAUGCCGCGUGUGUGAAGAAGGCCUUCGGGUUGUAAAGCACUUUCGGCGGGGAGGAAGGCGUUAAGGUUAAUAACCUUGGCGAUUGACGUUACCCGCAGAAGAAGCACCGGCUAACUCCGUGCCAGCAGCCGCGGUAAUACGGAGGGUGCAAGCGUUAAUCGGAAUUACUGGGCGUAAAGCGCACGCAGGCGGUCUGUCAAGUCGGAUGUGAAAUCCCCGGGCUCAACCUGGGAACUGCAUUCGAAACUGGCAGGCUAGAGUCUUGUAGAGGGGGGUAGAAUUCCAGGUGUAGCGGUGAAAUGCGUAGAGAUCUGGAGGAAUACCGGUGGCGAAGGCGGCCCCCUGGACAAAGACUGACGCUCAGGUGCGAAAGCGUGGGGAGCAAACAGGAUUAGAUACCCUUGUAGUC